UGACAGUGCGAGCCCCUGGAAGCCCAG
rnacentral:piRNA from 1 species